AGCCCAGUUCCGUUUCACUUACACCCUCCAUCUCUAGCGGUCCACAACUUCUCUUCAAUCAAACCCGCCCGAAGCGCCCGACUCCACUCGCCGCCGCCGUCCGUCGCCGCCGGCGGAAUCAAAUGGGGACGUCGGUGCAGGUGACGCCGCUGAGCGGCGCGUACGGGGAGGGGGCCCUGUGCUACCUGCUCGCCGUUGAUGGUUUCCGCUUCCUCCUUGACUGCGGCUGGACCGACCACUGCGACCCCUCCCUCCUCCAGCCCCUCGCCAGGUAAGCUCGCUACCCGACCUACCCCCGGAAGCUGCUGCUCCUUCAGUCAUUCCGUCCCCUGCGAGCUUGCUUGUCUCCAUGCUGGCGCCAGUGUUCGCGGGCGAGGCUGCCUUGCCGGACGUAUGCCACCUGCUCGACCAAUUGUGCCAGCUAGGGCGAGGCAUUCUCUCGGAUGGAGGUGCAGCCAUGCGCACCACCAGCUCGACCAAUUUCCUGCAUUGCUCGGGAGGGCAACGAGUACUUGACGCCUGCCCAACUAAAAGGGGUUAGGACUCUAGGUAUAUAGUGGCUUGGCACGUCUUAGGGUUUUGUUUGCUGCAAUGCAAUGGUUGAGAUCUUUGGACUGUUUACAAAACUGACUAGUUGAUUGGACCAUAUGUUCAGGUGUGUCAUUGUCCAUCACUCAUGCUCAUUUUUGUGGGUGUGGGCAUGUGUAAUCAAUCCUUAUCAUGGAGUGUCGCGUGUAUGAUUUCGUGUGCCAAAAAUGUAGCCCAAGUUGAUGCACUAUACUUGGUGUUUUUUGCUUUACUGUUUUGUAGUUCAUGUGUGUUUCUUGUAAGAGGGUGCAAGUACAUGCAUGUUUACUUCAUUUUACUCAGAGAAUGAAUUUGUUUUGCUCAUUUUCGUUGACUGGUAAAGUGAUGCUACAUGAAUAUAGCCGCCAUGUUUUAUAUAUGCAGCUUCAGUCGAGUGGAAGUUUUCCUGUUAAGCUUUUGAAUGUCCACAGAUGACAAACUAGAUUGUUUGCAUUGGAUGAAAUUUGAAUGUAGACGUUGGCGUGUUUCUUUCUGAAAGCCCCAUACAGUAUAUUAAUUGAAGGGACACUUUAUUUCGCUGCAUAUCACUAGUAUGCUUAUUCUAGUCCAACAUGUUGAAGAUUAUUUUUUACUUAUGCAGAUAAAGAUAUUUAAUAUCUUUCAGGGUUGCGCCAACAAUAGAUGCCCUGUUCUUCUAUCUCAUCCUGACAUCAUGCAUAAUUUUAAUUUUAAAUUUCCUACCAAGUAGGCUUAUAAGUUAUAACUUUAUAUGAUCAAAUUCAUGCUGGUGGAAGCGAAGGCAGGAAUUCUCUUCAUCUUCCUACAGCUAGCUGGUUAAUACAUCAAGUGUGCACCCAUGCAACAUCGGCGAUGUGUUGUGAUUGAUUCCUUUCUUCUUCGAUCUAUCUCGUUGCACUCCACACAUGAUGGCUCUACAGCUCGAUCAUUUCAUAUGAGAAGACUGGAAAGCUUUGCUGUUGAGAAAACUGCACUGUGAUGUAGAGAUGACAUGUAUGAUAUAUUGAGAUGAGCUCUUCCUUGUAGUAUGGCAAUACGACGUUAUUAAACUCAUCAAAUACAGGGGUAAAUUGAUGUAUGUUUGGAUUGUGACGCACAGUAUAUAUCAGAUUUUGUUGCCUGCACAGACUCAGUUCUUACCUGAAUCAUUUUGGUGAUGAAACCAAAAGGCAUGGGGUUUUACAGCUGUUGUAUUGUGAGCUGAAGAUGCUGAUAACCUAACCUGGUACCGCGACCAAGCGACCAUGUAUUUGGGUAUCAAGAGCAUGCCGUAAUUCAGACUACACGUGCAUCCGCAUCUGAGAAGAGAAAUGUGGAGAGGAAGAUAUGCGGGAUCGAAUGCUGAAAGUUUCAGGUUGCCAAAUGGUGUUGUACUUAGCGAUGAAUAGCUGUGCAUGAUCAGCUCGUUCUCAUAUCUCUCACAAUCUUGCUUCAGCCUUCUCGUCUACUUCGUUUUCACCAUAUCUCUUCAUCUUUCCACAACAAAAUGAGUCGCCGCCGAAGCUUGGCACGUCAAUUUUGCAAAGGUUCCUCGUUUGAUGAUGAGGAUCUCAUGAUGGUUGCAGUCAUAGCCGAGGAAGAACAGGCGGGGUUGGAUGCUCUGCGCCAUCGAGGUUCACUUCCAGGACGACAUUCUCUUCAGCGCGAAUUUGCGGAAUACUUUCAGUGUCUCCACAAAGACUAUUUUGCUGUGAAUUGUACCUUCAACGCAAGGAUGUUUCGCAAUAGGUAUAGAAUGCACCGUCCUCUUUUUCUCACAAUAGCAAGAGCUCUAGAGGAACAUGAUAACUAUUUUUUCUUAAGAAGAAAUUGUGCCGGUACUCUUGGUUUACAUCCUUAUCAAAAGCUGACCUCCGCA